rnacentral:lncRNA from 13 species
AUUGUGGGACGGUGACUGGUGCUAAGAUGGCCGACAACAGGGAGGAGAUUUCGGAGCUCGUCGAGAAACGAGGUAAGUCAUUACGAAUCAUAUUUUCGAGGUACGGUGCGUGCGUGAUAAUUCAUCGUUACUCGCAUCGAAAAGUGAGUUUAUGCCUUUCUAUAAUAUAACUAACGCUGCUUUCUAUCUAAUGUCGCGUAGGAAUAGCGUGGUAGAUUCGAUUAAUUAACACGUCGAUCGGACGACCUGCGUGAGAGUUAUGCGAAUUAAUUAAAGCGAAACUCUCUCGAUUUGCAGGUACGGACAGAUUAAGAUAACGUCGAGAGAGUUGCGAUAGAAUAAGAUUUUGACACGUGGAAAUCAAACGCUUAACGAGAUUUACCGCCGAUUCUACUCACAAUAUAUAAUGAUUUUCGCCGGAAGGAUAAGCUUCAUCGCACGGCAAUAUGAUCAUCGUCAAUACAACCAUUAUUCGAGAUAGAGAAAAAAAUUCAAAGUAGGCUCCCAUUGAAACAAGUGCAUUGCCGGCUAGAACGUGCCGCAGGAAAAUGCAAAUUGCAACAGCCGCAACAACCACGCGUGUCUAUUUUUGCGCGUAGUUAUUUAGCAUUCAAUGCUCAAUGAAUAGACGCCCGAUUCAUCGGUGUAAGAAGCGUGCAGCGAGAAGAAGCGGGUUAAAAAGUAACGGCUACGGCGCGCUCGCUUUGGCUCUCGCAUUCAGGCCUUCGAUACGCGGAUUAGCGGUGCAUGCGUGCGGGGGUCAGCUGGAGGCAGGUUCGAUCCGCGUGAUAGAUUCCCACGAUAGGGGGGGGAACGAAGGUGCAUUGCGUUUCUCGAUCGCCGGAUCGAGGAAUCCGUGCCAGGGGAACGGUCCCGGUGCUAUCACGUGCGAUCGCUUCUCGCGGGCGGAUUUACGCGCUCGUACGCACGAGCCGUUCGUGUCGUUACAAAUCUCGUAUCUCCCUCGCGUAUCUCCCGCGAACAUUAUCCCGCUGCGUUAAUCUUCCAUGCUACUUUUAACGAUUUAGAGGAGAAAGCAGGUUGAAUAUCAUUAGGGCCACCCAUAGAUGUAGCACUGGCCUCUGUCCAAGGCUCGCGAGCGGUAAUACUUCCCCCUGUCUGUUGCCUCGCUUAAGCGAAAAAAAAGAAAGGAUAGAUCAUUAUACAAACGCAAAUUGUACGUGUAUCGCAGUCGGUUAGUUAAGGGAAAAAAAUUACAGCGGCGAAAGGGGCACGAGAUUUUUCUUUUCGAACGAGGACAGGCUGAUGUAUGUUGCGAAUAUAUUACUGUAUUCUUUUAAAUGAGAGGCUCCGAUCGCAGAGAAGAUUGCAUCGAGCAAUCUUUUCUGCGAUUCUAUUUCCAUAUCUUAAUUUUCAAUUCAACUUAUCCAACCGAACUUGGGCAUUUCGUUUAUUAAGAAAAUAAUUUACUAGCAUUCGUUUAUUAUAUUUUCCGCGGUACUUUACGAGUUUAGUGUCGAACGUGAAAUCUUUGCGAAAGUGUGCGUUUCUAGUACACACGACGGGAGUACCUUUAGCAAAUAUAAUAACAGUUAUUCUUGUUACCGCUAUUUUCGCCGUAUCCGCCCUCGCGAUCCCAAAGUCACGCCGUCGACCCGGGUGAAAUCGAAAUUCGCUUCUCGCCGCGUGCGUGUGUGUUAGCCCCGAUUCGCAGGCGGCUCAACGGCGGCGCGUCGUGGCGAAUUGGCUUCGCGGCGAGACACGCCGGACGAUAAUUGCGGAAGACGACUUUUGUUACGAGGUGCGUCUCGCAGCGCGCGCGCGUACGGCCGAGAAAUUUCCGACGGCGAGACGCGCAUUAAUGCGGGCAGCAAACCAUCUCGUCGGCUUCAUUAGCAUCCGCGAAUCGGACACCGUUAAUUAUUUCCAUUAUCCCGUGCUAUUCAUAAUUCAACGAUGCAUAAUUCAGCGGUGCGAGGCCGUAUGCGCUAACGCGUUCGGUAUGGUUAACGGAAGGAAACUCGCGGCCGGUUGUUAUUUUAUUUGCAAAUGUCUUUGUGUGUGUGUGUGUGUGUGCACGCGCGUGCGGGAUUAUUACAUCUUUCAUCUGAUAUACGUGAUGUUUAAACGUACGGUGCACAGCUUUGCAUCGAUUUCCUGCGCCUUUUUGCCCAACCCCCACGGUAUUCUGUGCGUAUAACGUCGCCGUUUCUCUUCUUGUUAAUACCCGCGAGUCGAACGUUUAAUUUCCUAAUGACUUCCAUCUCACGCGUUAUUCAUAAAUUCAACGGCGUUCGCCGUGUACCAACGCGAGCGGAGAAACGGUUUAUACGAAUGAAAGGAGGGAACGGCGAGAUUCGCCGUGGCGAAUUCUUCGAUUUCGUGGCAGGAAGAGAUUAAGCCCUCGCGGAAACGAUGAGCUUCCUUGAGCGUGUCCGACUAAUUUUCUGAACGGCAACCCUGGAUAACGAUAAGAAGCUCGUUAAAUUUUCUUUAAUUGCAUUCCAAGUUCGUUCGUUGACUCGCGCACUUCUUAAUCGCUCCCGCGACCGCGCGCGUGUUACUCUAUAUACGGGGGGAUACUCCAUAUGUAUUUUUUCUCGAUCACCGGCCGCUAAAAGCUGAAUUAAGAAUAAUGCCGCUAAUUUCAAUACCGAGACGAGAAUAAAACUUCUGAGUUGAGCAAGCGAUUGAAAAUUAAAUUGCUCUCGAUCGAGCUUCAAAUAUAAAAGUAGAUUAUAAAAUAUUCAAGGAAUUGUGUGUGCAUAGAUUCUUAGUUCGCCUUGUUCUAAUUUUGUACACGAUCGAUUACGAAUUAACGAAAUGUGAAGUUUAUCAUUACUUUUUAUAUUUUAUUUUUACAUCUCGUGAUUUUAAAAUCUGAUAUUCCUAAUUCAAUUAUCGAGGAGUAUUUAAUGUAUUUAAAAAUAAGAUGUUGCGAAAAUAAAAUGAUGCAAAUAAAUAAAUUCUCCUUCAGAUUAGAAGUAAUUCCGAAUUUAGCAGUACAUUCAGGAAGAAUGGUAUUCCUGAUUCCCCCGCCCUUCGUAAUGGAUUGACAUUUUUAUCGAACGAUGAUUGAUAGAUAGCAUGGUUUCAUUUCCCGUAUUGGGCGCGGCAUAAUUUCAGGAAAGUGGAUUUAACGUACCUAUAUAGCAGUCCGACUCCCUAAUGGAAACUGAUACACAUAGGCUUGGUCGACAGAUUUCUUAGCGGCAUGAUAAACGAUCGUGGAAUAUGUUCACGGUAAUUCGUUUCUGGUCGAGAUGCUGGUCGAAGAUAAAUCGUCGGACAUAACUCUAAUUGUAGCGAGAUAAUUCCAAAGGAUACACAUUUGUCAAUGUGUAACGCGCAGCGCAGCUAUAUCAUACAGCUAAUUGUAAAAAGUUAAUGAAAUUAUAUUUCGUACAUAAAUGGAAAGAUGUUUUCAUAUUUUUUUCCAGUUGAGAAUUAUUCGAGAGAACGUUGAUAAACGGGCAUUCGCUUUCUUCAUUCUUUGCAAGGGGAAUAUUUUACGCUCGCGCUUGUUCGGAAAUAAGCUUUUACUUUAAACGACAAAGGAAUAGGAGUGCGUUUAUUUUAUCAAAGAAGACAAACGCUCGCUCUCGGACGUCGCGACAAAGGAGUCUUCUCCGUUUGCGAAACCACCGGACCUUCUUUCACUCGAAAACCACCUACGUAUCUGCCGUCUUGCCUCGAGGUUUUCUCCUCUCUGGACCCUUGUGCAAUCGUCAUAGCGAAUUGAACGCCGACAAAUGAGGAAAUCGCUCUGAACGUUUUGUACACGAACACGGAUUGUUUUCCACGGUCGUUCACCCUUGUCGACUUUCGUCGAGCUCCGCGGUUAUUCGCUUCGUGACCCAUUGUCCGUCGGUAUUGUGACAAAAAGUCUGAUCAGUGAGCGGUGAUAACUGCAGGCAGCGCCUUAGGACAUUUUAAUCAACUUUAGAAUUUAAAGUUUUGAUACCGAGAUAUAUGAAAGGUUCGCAGCAAGUGCUGGGUUCAGUUUGCAAGGUCCAUUUUGAAUAUGAAACCGUAUCUAAAUUAUAAACUCGAUUGUUCAAAUUUCUUCCGAAAAAUUGC